AUUAAAGAUUUAUCGGUAGGGGAUGGGCAUGCGUAGGAUUAGUUAGUUGGCGGGGUAACGGCCCACCAAGACUUUGAUCCUUAGGGGUUCUGAGAGGAAGGUCCCCCACACUGGCACUGAGAUACGGGCCAGACUCCUACGGGAGGCAGCAGUAGGGAAUAUUGGGCAAUGGGCGGGAGCCUGACCCAGCCAUGCCGCGUGCAGGAAGAAGGCGUUAUGCGUUGUAAACUGCUUUUAUACGGGAAGAAAAGGCCCAUGCGUGGGACAUUGCCGGUACCGUAUGAAUAAGCACCGGCUAACUCCGUGCCAGCAGCCGCGGUAAUACGGAGGGUGCAAGCGUUGUCCGGAUUUAUUGGGUUUAAAGGGUGCGUAGGCGGCCCGUUAAGUCAGCGGUGAAAGUCUGUGGCUCAACCAUAGAAGCGCCGUUGAUACUGAUGGGCUUGAGUGCCGUAUGGGUACAUGGAAUUGAUGGUGUAGCGGUGAAA
rnacentral:rRNA from 1 species